rnacentral:rRNA from 1 species
AUUGAACGCUGGCGGCAUGCCUUACACAUGCAAGUCGAACGGCAGCACGGGUGCUUGCACCUGGUGGCGAGUGGCGAACGGGUGAGUAAUACAUCGGAACAUGUCCUGUAGUGGGGGAUAGCCCGGCGAAAGCCGGAUUAAUACCGCAUACGAUCUACGGAUGAAAGCGGGGGCCCUUCGGGCCUCGCGCUAUAGGGUUGGCCGAUAGCUGAUUAGCUAGUUGGUGGGGUAAAGGCCUACCAAGGCGACGAUCAGUAGCUGGUCUGAGAGGACGACCAGCCACACUGGGACUGAGACACGGCCCAGACUCCUACGGGAGGCAGCAGUGGGGAAUUUUGGAAAAUGGGCGAAAGCCUGAUCCAGAAAUGCCGCGUGUGUGAAGAAGGCCUUCGGGUUGUAAAGCACUUUUGUCCGGAAAGAAAUCCUUGGCUCUAAUACAGUCGGGGGAUGACGGUACCGGAAGAAUAAGCACCGGCUAACUACGU